GGUGAAAAGGAUCACUUGAUUCCCUCAACAUCACAGAGUUUUCUGGAUAGUGACUUCUUUGUGGUGGCAGGCCGUAUGAUCGGGCACUCAUUCCUGCAUGGUGGUCCAUGCUUAACUGGUUUAAGCCCAGCAAUAAUCCACAUGCUUUUUGGUGGAUCCCCUGAAACAGCCACCAUAGAUAUACUGGACUGUGUGGACACUGAUGUCCGUCAAGUAACAGAGACGUUGAAAGGCACAGGUGAAUUAUCAGAGGAAGAAAAGAGGGCUAUUUCAGACCUUGCAGUGUCCUGGGAUUUGCCUGGUGUGACAUCAGAGAACAGAAGAUGGCUGCUUGACAAACUGCUCAUUCAUGCAGUCCUUGAAAGAACCUCCAAGCAAGUAAAGCAGCUACGGCGGGGUUUGAAGGAAACAUUGAUCUGGCCUUUGCUUUCUGAGAGGAAAGACACUAUUCCUCUUCUCUUUCCUAGGACUUGUGAUACAGUGUACACCCCACUAGUAAGAU